CUACGGGAUUAAACAGAGGACCUAAUCUCCGCAAAUCCUCCGCCAUACCCUUCUCCCAUUCUUCCCAAAAUACAAAAAUUUCGAUUUCCAUUUGAGGUUCAACUCACUCAGUCUCAAGUCUCAACCCUUCUGUUUCCGUAGUCUCGCAGACAUCGAUCAUACUGUAUUCAAAUUCUAAUCUCUCAAUUGAAGCACAUACCUUUCAGCCAUCAAUGCUCGAGUUGCAAGAGAUUGAAGUUUCCUUCAACAGAUAAUCAUCACCUUUUGGGAGCGACUCUGUGGCCAAAUUCGGAGCUUCUUCUCCGUUGAUUAUAAGGAAAUCGAAGAGGCAGUCUUCGUAAACGGUGAAACACUAAAACGGCAUCAGUCCAUCAACCAAGAAGAAUCAAUAAAGGCUUUGCAUAUUUAGUUUACCAAAAAGUUAGUAGAAGCAUCAAGACUCAUACCCAUCUCCUCAUCUCCUGAGUCCUGACGUCUCUCAAAGAAAGAAGAAUCCUGCCCAUAUCCUUCUACAUACAAUUGUUUAAUCAAGGUCAACUUUCACUAACAAACUAUUGAUCUCGAAAGAAAGGUUUCUUUUUGAAGGAUCUGUUUCACACUUCCAAGAAGAAGAAAUGCCAAGAUGAAAUUAGGUCCCUUUGAUCCAAAGAUAUGUUUUGAUUCGUAUUCAAAUUGUGUGCAAAGUGUUAAGACUUAAGAGCUGAUGAAAUUGAAGUCAAAGUAUUGCUUUGAAAGUAUUUUGGUUACCUUAAUUUAUCGGUGUAAGGAAUAUUUUGAUAAUGUAAUUUUACUUUUGGUGAUACUCUUCAUGUAG